rnacentral:lncRNA from 1 species
CCAUAACUACACCAAAAUAUAAACUUAUUCAUGAAUAACUUUAUUGUUUAGGCAAUUUCCAGCAAGCUGUUUUUCUGCGUCAUAGUCGCUAAUUUAUUUUUAUCUGGAGCUACAGGGAUCCAAAUUGAGUUCCGUAAAUUUUCCCUGAAACUAUACUCAUAUACCAUUUCACCAUAAAAAUUUCAGAAUUUUUAACCCAGCAAAUUAGUACAGUUUAUUCAUUAAACCUUCCCCUGUUUCACUACCCAACGGUUCUGACCCUUACUCACUAAAAUUCACUUAACU